CGGGGCGUGCUGGGCAGUCCAGGGAUGACCAGCUCGAUGCUCUUGCGGACCUGUCCCGCGAGGUUGGCAACACACCCCCCGGACGCUACUUUCGAGUCCGGAAUGGCUACGUGCUGGCCACC
rnacentral:ribozyme from 1 species